UCCACCGUGAGGUGGAAUCUGAAGGAAGCCGAAGGCAAACUUCUGGUCUGACGAACAGAAAUCACAUCAGGCAUAUGUAGGCUGGGUAAGGUUGCAAAACAAACCGAAGCCCUAAACUAUCCGGAAGCCUACGGUGUAAAUAAUGAAUGUUACCAAAACAGGAGCGAAGUGU
rnacentral:ncRNA from 1 species